UUUGAAAAAGGAUUAACAUUUAUACUCGAGAUCUAGGAACAAAUACAUUGCAAGGAAAUACCUUUUGCUGAAAGUUUGUGCCUUUGAAGACGUAUAAGGUAUGCAAUAAUACAACUGAUAUUUCCAAACUUGUCUGUGACAAUCAGGAAUGGCUCUACACAAGGCACUGCGAAUGUUGAAGCUCAAUUAAACACAAUAAGAAAAUUGAACGUUUAUCCUAACAUGAAUGGAGUUGCUAGUUAUUGGCAUGCUUCAUGUGACACCUUCAGAAUCUGUUUCAAGUGGUUGAAUGCAUUGCUACAGUUAACAUUAAGCUUGAGAGUGGUGGAAAUUGCUUCCGAAAAUAUAGCUGCGUCAGCAACAUAAUUAUCAGCUUAAGACCUGCAACAUAUCAAACUUCUCUAUCAGCAAACUAAUGUCCAACUUCACCAUAUAGCUUCAGUUAUCUUGCAUUUUCCUUGUGAAGUUUCACCUUUUUUGACAUCACAAGGUGCUUGGACAAUGACUCAGCAAUAAGUUGAUGGCCAAACAAGUGAGAGUUCUUCAGAAUCAAAUUUCUAGUUGAUGAAUCAAUAGCAUAACCUUUACCAGGCAUCCACUUCAGUAACCAGAGAAGUAAUUCCUUCUUUUCUGGUUUUGCAAUGUAGCGUGCUAUAGCCAAAUCAAAUAAUUCCUGAGAAGAGUGUUUCAAGACACAGGUGAUUUAAUAUCUGACAAGGUACGGUCAUAUAUUAGAUGUUAAAGCUAAUGUCAAACUUAUGUUUGCCUCGAAUUCAACAACAGCUAAAAAAAAGGGCAAAUUCUGUAAGUCACAUAGAUGUCUGACAAACAGGUACCACAGUCAGGGGCGAACUCACAUAUAGCGUGAUGGGUGCACGAGCCCCCAUUGACCCCGACGGAAAUAUUGUGUAUGUAUAUAGAAAAUACGGAAAAAUGGAUAUAAUGUAUUCGCGAGCACCCAUUAGCAAAAUAGCUUGAUGGGUUUUGAGUUUCCCCAAAAAAUAUCAAAAACAAAAUACAAGAAACAAUAAAAUAAGGUAUUUGAAUCAAAGCUAGAGAAUUUGGGUAUAAAUAUAACACGCAAUAUUCUAUCAACAAUUUUGGGGUUUUUUUGCAAUUCUAAUUGUUGGGUUUUCACAAUGCUUAUUGUUUAUGCGUUGUAAAAUAGAUACAGUGGAUGAUUUUUUUUCUUUUGUUAAUUUGUUAUGUAGAACAAAAGAUAUUUGCAACUAUAAGCAAUGAUGCUAUUACUUAUUCAUCAUUUUAAACAUACGAAAAAUUAUCAAGCACAGUUGCAACUUGUGAUUAAAAGUCUUUUUUUUUUCUCUAUUACAUUUGAAUUAGUUGUGAACUUCUACUAUGUGAUUCGUAGCAAUUUUAUAUUAAAGGAAGUUCACAACCUUAAAAUCCGGGAUCCACCAUUGACCAUAGUGCAAUCUAAAUUCAAGUUAAGAGUUGAUUCCUCCAAAAUCCUGGACAGAAUCUAACUAGUAAUUAGUCCCUCUUGUAGAGACUAGUACAACGUGUCACGAACUUAGACCUUCACUAAGCACACCGGGAGACACCUAACAACCCACUCACGAAUCUUUCACGAUCUUGCAAGCUCAAAUAAGCCUUUUUAACACUAGAUCGGUAAGGGAAUGUUGAAUUAAAGAAAGACAAAAGAGAAUUGCUCAAGAAAGCGUUUAUAUUGCUCAAGACUUGAAAGAUUUACUUGAUGCCUUUAAAAAUGAAUGUCCCUCUAUUUAUACUACUCCCUAUGAGCUAAUUUGGAAAUAUAAAUUGUGUACAAAUCCCUAUUCUAGAAUUCUUCACACAACUAGAAGGUUCCAAGGACCUUUUAUGCAAAUCCAUGAAACUCUAAGGUCUUCCAAGAAAUUCUCCAUAUAUCUCUAAAAUAUUCCACUAAGGACUAUUCUUCUUCUAAUGUAAGUCUAGGUGGUGUGAUGACAUGGCGGGUCAUAACACUCCCCCGCCCACCUAAUAUUGCGACGACCGCGGCGCAUUGCUAUUGCAUAAAUUCUUGAAUCUUGUCUUUGAAAUGCCACAAGUCUUCAUAUCGCUCCCAUGUGGCUUCCUCUGGUGAUUGUCCUUUCCAAUGGAUGAGGAAUGUGACAGUGGCUUUUUGCCCUUGUUUUCUCUUGGCUCGGUAGUCAAUGAUAGCCUCAAUUUCUCGAUAAUGCAAAGUGGUGAUGGUGAUCGAUGCCCAAUUUGACUGACUUCGGUUGGGAUCAUCCUUUGUCUGCAUGGUAUGGUUUGAGCACCUGGCAUGGAAGACGGGAUGAACCUUAAAAUGAGGUGGUAACUCUAACUUACAUGAGAUCUUGCUUACCUUAUCAUCCUUGUCUGGAUGGUAUGGUUUGAGCACCUGGCAUGGAAGACGGGAUGAAACUUAAAAUGAGAUGGUAACUCUAAUUUACAUGAGAUCUUGCCCACCUUGGCAAUGAUCCUAAAUGGUCCCUCAUACUUUCGUACCAAAUUUUUGUGCACGCCUUGCAGUGACAUAAACUGUUUUCGGUUAAUCUUUACCAAAACCAUGUCCCCAACCUUAUAAUCCAUGGGACAACGCAUGCAGUUGGCAAACUUCUUCAUCUUCUUUGUUGCCUUGUCCAAGUAGGACUUAGCAGUGUCAAGUUGCUCCUCAAACCCCUUGGCCAUAAGGUAAGCCCCCAAACUCUUUCCACGAAGCCGAUAAUGAAUGUGGAGUUUGUGGUUGCUGGCCUAUGGCUAACUCGAUUGGUGUUCGCCAAUAGACUCGCUCUACUACAAGUUAUACGAGAAUUGGGCUAUGUCGAAUAGUCUUGCCCACUCUUUCUGAUGUGAACUCACAAAGUUCCCAGGUAGCACUCCGACAAGGCAUUGACUCCGUCUGCAGGUUAAAACUAGUGAAGAAAUGCUAUUGCGUGCCAAGUGUAUUGAACAAUUUUCUCCAAAAGUUUCUUAUAAAGCGCCGGUCACGAUCGUUGAGAUAUGCCUUGACAAACCCCAAUAUUUUACCACAUUCUUGAAGAAUAAUUUGGUAGCCUCUUCAGGAGUGCAACUGCAACCUACCGUGGCAGGCAUGAAGUAAGAAAAACAUGUCCACCACGACCAUGAUUGUCCCAUAUAUGUCAAACUUAGGCAAGCAAGUUAUGAAGUUCAUAGUCACUCUCUCAUGGAUGCUCUGCUACAGGUAAUGGCUCCAAUAGUCCUCCAAGUGGUAGGUUCUCCAACUUAUCAUGUUGGCACACAAGACAAAUCUGCACGUAACAUUCAAUAUCAUCAUACAUGCGCGACAAAUAAUAGAUUGACUCAAUCAAUGCCCUUGUGUGACACUGCCUUGGGUGCCCAGCCCACAACGUCAUGGCUUUCUUUAAUGAUUUGCCCCCUAAUAGUUCCAAACUUGGGCACGUAGACCCUUCGACCUAUGGUGAGCAAUAGUCCAUCUUGCACCUAGAAACAUCUCGUCUAGCCUUGAGCUGCAAACUCCAUAAGUUGCUUUGCUUCUGGGCCAUGUUGCAUGCCAUCCUUAAAAGCAUCUCGAAUGUCACAACAGGCUGUGGUGAUGGCAGCAAGCUCAGACUUUCUACUCAAAGCAUUGCCACAGCAUUACCCUUGCUUGGCUUGUACUCCAACUCAAUCAAAUUCAACCAAGAAAUCUUGCCACCUACCUUGAUUUGGUGUGAGCUUCUUCUGUGACUGGAAAUAGCUAGUGGCCACUUUGUCAGUCUUGACCAUGAACUUGGAGCCGAGCAGGUAAUGUAUCCGCGUGUGUAGGCAAUGUGUUAUGUUGUCAUCUUCUUCUCUUGUAUGGUGUACCACCUUUCUAUCUCAUUCAGCUUGCGGCUCUCAAAGGCAAUAGGGUGUCUAUCUUGCAUCAAGAUACCUCCAAUGGGAAAGUCAAAAGCAUCAGUGUGUACCUCAAAUGUCUUGGUAAAAUUAGGCAGUGCCAAGACUGGUUCUUUUGUCAUGUCAGCCUUAAGAUCAUCAAACGCCUUUUGGAAAUGCUCGCUCCUACCCACAACUUAUUUUUCUUUAACAACUCGAUAAAUGUGGCAACCUUAGCAGAGUAGCACAAUAUGAACGAUAAUAGUUGGCAAGUCCAAGAAAAGAUCUACGUUCGAUCACUUUCGUGGGUGCCUCCCACUAUUGGAUAGCCCGCACCUUAGCCUCAUCCAUCUGCAACCGUCCUUGGUUAAUGACAUGUCCCAAGAAGUGUAUCUCAUGCUAGGCAAACUCACACUUCUCUCCUUUGAUGUAAAGCUCAUUUUCCUGCAAGACCUAGAAAUCUUUUUUAAGUGUUCCACAUGCUCCUCCAAGGUAUGUCAUCUAGGUACACUAACACAAACUGGUCUAGGUAGGGAUGGAAGAUCUUGUUCAUCAGCAUGCAAAAGGUAGCGGGUGCAUUGGUUAAGCCGAAGGGCAUCACCAACCACUCAUUCGCUCCAUAUCUCGUCACGAAUGAUGUCUUUGGCUCAUCCCCUUCUGCUAUUGGUAGCAACCCUUCCGAAGAUCCACCUUGGUAAAGUGCUUGGCUUGUCCAAGUCUAUUGAAUAAGUCAACAAUAAGCGGGAAAAGGUAUUUGUUUUUUACUGUUACUUUAAUAAGCUUCUGGUAGUCUGUUCAUAAGUGCAACGACCCAUCUUUCUUCUUUUGAAACAAGACUAGAGCUCCAUAGGCUACUUUAGACGUGCGGAUAUGUUCAGCUUCGACAAAUUGCAUGAUGCCUUCUUCUCCUCUAUUUCUCCACGAGUAGGGUAUCAAAGUAGGCCUACCCAAACACCCAACAAUCUCCCCCUGAAUUCUUUCUCCAAUUUCACUUUCUCUUGUUUCAAGAUGGAACUAGGAAAAACCAUCUCUUCUUCCUUAUAGAUCUCCCAGAAGGAGGGUUAUAGUAUUUGUACCCUUUGUGUUGGAGAAUGCCUAAUAAAGACACAUUUAAGAGCUCUAGGAUCAAGUUUCACUAAGCUCCUAGUGUGAACAAAGCAAACACACUCAUUUACCUUUGAAGGAACAAAAUAUUCAUUAUAAAGCUUCCCGAGGACCCUGAAAAUCAAGAGUUUUAAGAGGUAUGUUAUUGAUAAGAUAAGCAGUUGCUAAAACGGUAUCCCCUCAAUAUGUUUUUGGUAAAUGCAUGGUAAAUAGAAGGGAUCUUGGACUUCUAGGUGCAUUCCUCACGAGUACAACUUUAGUUCUCUGGUAAUGGAGCUAACAGAUAACAGGUUAACGAGAAACUCAAGGCCAUGUAAACGAACAGAAGGCAAGACAUCUGAUGAAAUCGCUGAGAAUGCCAAUGUUGUAUCACCACCUUUCUAACCUCCUUUUACUGGAAAGGCCUCUAUUGGACUUGGAAGUAGUGUGGGAAAGUAUGAAAUGCUCAUUUGCUAGUUAAGUAGAUCCUCUGUAAAGUAUAUUCCUUCCUUGGCAAUAUGGAAAGCCUGUAGCUAUAAGGAAGUCUGUUGCUACAGACACCUAUCCAAUUAACCAAAAGUAUAAUCAAUCGAGACCGAAGCUUAUGCAAUUGUUGAAUUCUGUUCAAAUAGAAAGCUUUUUGGCCAGUUCAAGGCCAGGUACACGAAGAAUGGAUGAUAUUGAACCUGUCCCAGAGACGGGAGUUAGGGAGCCAUUGGUUAUUUUGACAUAAGUCCCCUUUGAAACUAGGAGAGUAGUUUUGAAAACCUUUAGAAGAGCCUGUCAUGUGUCUAUUCACACCAAAAUCAAUCAUCCAAGAAUUAAGCUUAGCAUUAAAAGCAAUACUUGACUGCACAUACUUGGAACUAGGCAACUAGCAACCUUGGAAGAGUCAAGUUUGUUCAAAAGACGAUGAAGAUGUUGAACUUCAUCUGGUGACAAAGUCUCUCCAGAAGUAGUAUCUCUGGAUGUCUCCACAUUUUCUGCAAUAUUGGCCUAAUCCUUUGAUGGAACUACAUGCUUUGCACUACAACCUCUAGUUGGUCUAACAUGUAAUUUCCAGCAUGUCUCUCGCGUAUGCUUUGAGCUACCACAAACUCACAAUGUAAGUUAUCUUUAUCAGAAGAAAUGAUAGCCCUUGGUUGCUCAUGAGACAACUAAUGCAGACUUCUCAGUUGGUGCAAAAUUAAACAUGACCCCUCAUCGGCUCUCUUCCAAUUAAAUAUAAGAAUAUGUAUCCUCAAGUCAAGGAAAAGAAAUCUGGCCAAGUACUUGAACCCUGAUCUGAUCAUACUCUUGGUUCAAGCCGGCCAGAAAAUCAUAGACUCUUUCCUUUUCAACCAGUUGCUUGCAAACUUUGAUAGUAAUCAAUUUCCUGCCAUGACUAGCUUAGCUCGGAAUAAUAAUCGGUGAUAAUCAACUCACCUAGCCCAGUGGCAUGGACUUCGUUUUGAAUAUCAAAGAUCUAGGCAUCAUUUCUCAUGCGAGAGUAAGUGCGCUAGGUUGACUUCCAGAUCUUUUCAGUAGCAUCAAGCAAUAGAUAUUGUUAGAUAUCCAAGGGUGCAUAGUAUUCAGAAGCCAUGUCAUCAAAAGGGAAUAAUCAGAAUCCCAUUGACCAUACCUAGAAUCUGUAAUACCUAAACUUUGUCACAGCAGGUGCUUUCGUUUAUCCAGUGACAUACCCAAUCAAUUUCCUAAAUUUAAUUAAAAAAAAGGGGACAAGAUCUUGACCAAGAAAGAUAUGUAGCAGCACAAUCUAAUUUUACAGCACUAAUUUGAGACAGAAUUAUUUUCUGUUUAUGUAUCACCCAUAGUUUGAACAAGUAAUAAUCCUUAAUUUCAAAAUAGGAAUAUCCAAAAAUACAGAAAUAACAUUCCAAGGAUAGAAUCUACCUGAUCUCAUCGGAAAAACUCACCGGAUAAUGGGCAGGAGCCAGGAAGGGUUGGAAUAGCCUACGACUCGAGAUCUGGAAAUUAUUCGGGGAGAAGUAGUCGGACAGCUAGUUGCCACGUCCCUAAUUAUGGUGAUCGAAAAAAAAUAAAUUGGUAGGGAUGUUUUCACAACAAGCAUGCGACCUGAGAUCUGGAAAAAGAAUUCCGGAAACAUCUGUCGGAAAACUGUAGAUUGGGCUGGAAUGCUAGCUGCAACGUCGGAAAGCUAAAAAUAAAACCUGGGAGGGAAAUGCUCGGAAUGUUCCAGUGACCCCAAUGGAAAAACAAAAAUUUCGAAAAAAAACUGACCGGAAGAAGUUUUUGUUGAGGACAGCCACAAAGAAAGAGAAAACUCAACCUCUUUUAUAAAAAAUAAUGGAACCCUUGUGCUGUGAGGGAGAAAACUCACCUCAAAAAGGCAGCUAUGGCUAUGAUACCAUGAAGAUUUCAAGAAACAGAGAGAGUCUUCUUGUAUUUAUGGAUGAUUUUACAUCCCAUGAGAAUGGGCAGUUAUACAAUAAGUCCUACAACUAAAUAAGGAGAGAAAAUAUUACGUGUUGGAUUACAAUUAAUACUAUAUCAAUCUACAAUCAAUCUCUAGCAAUUUACUCCUAUAAUUAUGCCAGGAAAUCAAUAUCAAUCAACACAUAUCAUGUGCUGGUGGUUGAGUAUGAUGUUGGAAAUGUGAUUGGGACUAUCAUCUAUGUGUGUUGGGGAUGUAUUUGAAAUUUUAAUAUGACUACUCUACAAGGAAACAGGGGCGUAUGCAAAGGGGGGCCACCGGGUUCACGUGAAGUCCAUGCUCCCCUCUCAAGAUCAUAUACAGUAGUGUUAUAUUUUCUUAAAAAUAUAUAAAUAUAGAUUUGUGAACCCACACUCGAAGUAUCAUGUAAUGCGAUGAUGAAUGGGUGCACCUCUCUAAGUGAGGUUUUUGAAUCUUAUAUCUAUCUUGUUUUAUUUUUCUUUCUAAAAUUGGCUAACACCUCUUUAAGUGGUUAUUUGGUGUUUUAAUUAAUAUAUAUGUAUAAAUAUAAAAAAUUACUAUUUGAAUAGAUAAGAACUAAUUUUCAACCUAUAAUUUUAAUAUUUUACGUCUUUCACUGAUAAGAACCUAAAGGACAAAUCGAUCACAUUUAUAUAUUAGAUCCACUUUUUCGAAAUGGUGCACCCAUCAUUAGAAACCAUGAAUACACCUCUGCAAGGAAAUGGUUAUGUUAAAGGCCUGUGAGGAAAGCUAUGAUUUUCAAAAGAUGAUUUCACGUGAACUUAUAAUGGCAUGCCAAAUCUGAGUCUAUGUAAAAAUGACAUGAUGAAUGCUACUCAAGUAUGCUUUUGAGAUGUUGCAUGCAUGUUUUCUCAAAUACUUGUCCCACCUUUUGGAGGGAGUCGAAGAGACUUACUGAGUAACUUUAUGUACUCGCUUCACAUGAUCGUUGUUGGUUACCAAGUAUAUAGGUUAAAUAUUGUAAAAUAUUGAUUAUAUUUUGUAAUUUGAACACCCUCGACACAUUAUGAGAUUUGUCCCAGUGGCAAAAGGUGUUCAAAAGGUCCGGAAAGUCGCAAUUUCGAAUCUGUAAUGCCAAAAUUUACCCUUACUUUUAAUGGAAAAGUAGGUUGGAUCAAUUUGUGUGAACUUUUCGGUAUGCAUUACAUGAGAACUUAAAUUUAUUGCAUUUAGCCUUCUGUUAGCAUCCACUUUUUGGCAUUUUUUUUGAAUUUUUGUUUUUUAAUUAUAAAAUGAACAAUAGUAUAAACAGCUAAGUAAGAAAUAAACAAAUACUUUUUUGAAAUAAAAAAAUGAAAAAUCAUACCAAACCUCUUUGACAUUUCCUUUUUUUAAUUAAAAUAUAGAUAAUACCUUAGAGUAAUACUAUAUUAACAUUUCAAAAAUGUAUUUAUUUUUCAUGUUUCUAAGCUAAGAUUAAAAAAAAAUGAUUUGCUGAUAAAAGUGCCAAUGCUACAACCAGUCCAUAAAUUGUAAAAGCUUCCAUAAAGCUAGACUAAGCAAUAAAAGAAAAAUCUUUGACAGGUUCAAUUGUAAUAAUAUGUUUCAAUGGUAUUUUCACUUGUGAGAUUUCUUUAUUAAACUUUUUACUAUAGUAUUGAUGUAUACAAGUGUUGCCUCUACCACAAAUGUAUCUAAAUUAUAUUUGCACUUGUAAAAUUUCUUUAUGUUAGUUUUGAUUUAUACAACUGUUAGUUCUAUUACAAGUAUCUAUGAUUUUGCUAAAUAUCACAAUCUGAUUUAAUAUUUUUUUGGUGCACCCAUUCAUCAUAAAUACUUUAUUUACUUCUUCAAAGAUUGAACAGCCUGAACUAAAUUCCUAGCUACGCCAAUUGUUGGUGUUAUUUUAGAUAUUGUCAUAAUCAUUAUAGAGAUGCUGACAAAUUCAAUGUAUUGUAUACAAAGUUGGAAUAUCUGAAAUUGACAAGUAUGCGGUAUAUGUUUGAUAGUUAUUUAUAUUUUAAUUAUCUCUGCCUUAUGUUAGACUAGACAUUGGGCCCAACAAUUUAUGUUUAAUAAUUUUAUUUUAGACUAAUUGAAAUUAACAUUUAACAUUUGAAACAUCUAUCGAUAUAUCAAUUAUCGUUCUUCAUUUGCAAUUAUAUUAUUCAUUUUUUUAUAUUUUAAACUCUAAUUUUUAAUCAUAUGUAUUUUCUUUUUAUCUUUUUUUCCCUUAAUGAUCCUUGCUUAGUUAUAUAAUAAUUAUUAUUAUUACUAUCCCUUCUUUACUUUUUGAAUAUAUUUUAUUUUUAUUUUUUGCCAAUUUUUUUUUUAUUAUUCUCUUAUUCUUUUUAACUUUACUAACUUUUUCCUUGUUACCUUCUUAUUUAACUACCUAACAUAAAUACAGUGAAAAAAUAAGUCUCACUUUAAAUUUGUAUUUUCAUCAAAAAGUGUGAGUUACAAAUUUAAUUCAUUAGUUUCCUUUUAUUUUAAUAAAAUGUAUAUUAUGAUAAAUUGAAACAAAAUAGAUUAUUCAAUGGUAUAUUGAAUCAAAUUGAUAGAUAAAACAAAUAAAAUAUUAAUGAACUCAAAGUACUUUUAUUUCAAGACAAGAAAUAUUUAUUUUUCACCCUAAGAAUAGUUUUACUCUUGCUAUGUACAAUAAUUUUAACUUUAAAAUUAUCAUUUUAUUCUUAAUGAGAUGAUUUAUAGCAUAUAAAUAUAUGUGAAUUUUUUAAAAUAAAAUGUUUCAAGUGUUUUUUUUUCUUAAACUUAUGUCUAAAAAAACGAUGUCAUACAAAUUGAGAUAAAAGAACACAAAUAAUUACAAUAUUCAUAAUAUUAUAGUUCUAUAAUUUUUAAAAGUUAUAUUCAAAGUACGUGCAAAAUAUUUAAUUUUUAACAUUUACCCCAAGUAUCUAUGGAAUUUUUACAUUAUAUAUUAUAUUAAAUUAUACCAUAUGAUAAUAAUUAAACAAAAUACAAUUUCCUUGAAAGAGAAAAUCAAAGGUUCUCUUUGUGAAACUAACAGAAGCAUUUUAAAAAAAUAUGUUGCAUUGCUAACUUUAAGCGGGACCCACAUGUGAAAAGACAUACUAACAUAUGAUGGAGUACUUUUUGUCUGCAAAAGGAAAUGGCAGAGCAAUUGGUAUAACAUAAUUAAAGCAUGAAGUCUAAAGUAGGAGGCCUUAAAUGACUAAAGUACCCCUUAAUUCAAUCUUAAUCCCCGGAAGCACACAUGUUGACGGUCUCGUGUGUGCUUCCUUUCCAACUCCCACUUAUUAAAUAAGAGAAUGGUUAUUAAUAUUUUAUGGUAGAUGAAGUAAAUAGAUAGAAUAUAAAUUUGCCAUGUUUGUGUUGUUCACCCUAAUUUUUGAACUUCCCGUGUCUUUACACGUUUAUGCAUGCUCCUCAGGUUAUAACUAUUUUCCCACAUAUAGCAAAACUGUAUUCUCCAAUACUAAUGGCCUAUCGACAUAUUUCUUGAAUACGUCCUAUUAUCAUUUCAACAUAAAAUUGAUUUCAUCUUUAUUUGGUUCUGUUAUCUCAGUUUCUACACUUCCAGUAAUAAAGUGAGGUGACCUUCGUCCUUCUCCCAUGAUUGUCACUUAUGACAGAAGACAUAUGCAACUUUCUUAUCCCAACGAGCUUAGGUAUUGUCAACUAAGAUAUGUUCCGUGAUUCAUAUUAGAAUGACACAAACGAGUGCAGAACAAAAAAUAAACCUAGUACAGUAAUAUCAAUGGGCAUACUGAGUCAAAAACAGAUUUAGAAUUAAUCAAUCUUGUCGGUUGCUCCAGAAAAGUUGGGAGUACCUUCUCAUCUUAUCAUUAAUUAAGUCCAUGUUCCCUGAUACUUUAAAGGAUGGCGAUAUCUAGUACAUAAUCAUAGAGGAGAAUUGAAACUAAUUAUUACCUGAUCAAUCUUGUGGCCAGAGCUAUGCAUGGCGUUCAUCACAUCAUUGAUUAAGUUUACGUUGCCAGAUCUCAUGAAGUU
rnacentral:lncRNA from 1 species